UAAGUAAGUAAAACGAGGCAUUCAUCAGUGAAUAACUUUAAAAAUCUUUCUGUUUAUAAAUCCUUGCCUCCUUCAUGAUAUGAUCCAUCUGAAUCCUUACACUCAGCUUACCCUCCCGCUGCACUCUGUACGUAAUAAUUAGAAGGAGGAGGACGGUGCAGGCCUCAUGCAGAGACCAUCACCAGCCUGCGACCGAUCGCUCACUUGAUACGGCGGCGGGACGAGGAGGACGAGACCCGGCGUCGAAGGAGCCGGAGGCGGCCGUCGAAGUGGACGCGGUUUGGCUCGUGUACGGCGAGGCGGCAGCGGAUGCAGCAGGGGUUGCGGUGGUGGAUGCUCGUUGAGCGAAGGGCGAAGUCGGGGUGGCGGUGGGAAGUGGUGGAGGAGCGGCGGUUGGUUGAGGGCGGGGUGUGGCUGUGGUCGUUUCGGUAAGGGCGCUUUUGUCGGCACGCGUAGGGGAAGGCCACGGCGACGCGGCCGCCGCACCCGGUCAGCCUGGACCUCUAGAUGUGGCCGCCGGCACCGCUACCGAUGAUGUACCUCCAGCAGUGGCGGUUGUUGCAACGACGCCCGUUUAUGGUACCCGCCUCCGGCGAAGGGACGUCGACGCUGUUCCACCUGCCGAGGUUGCACUACGUGGAACGGAUGCACUAGGAGGCGUGUCGACUGUUGUGGAGGCUCUAGCGGCGGUUCAUACCCGACGCCCUCAGUUGCGACGAGUCCUAGUUAUUAUAGUGAUCGUCGGUCGACGAGGAAGCGGUUCCGGUGUAAGAACUAUAGGGCGAUAAGGUUCCUUACCCGUGUACCAGGUCGCAUGUAAUAUAGAGUCGUGUAUCCUCUUCUUCUAAUCUACACUUACUACUCUAACUCCGUUGUUCUCAUGAAUUGUAACAUUUUCAUAAAUAUGGGCAACACUCGCAAGAACACAUAGAGUAAUGUUGUACCACAAUGACCUCUUUGCGUGCGUUAAGGGAGAGCAGCCCCCGCUUACCGAAAUACCUUAAGCCAAUAUCGCUAGACCGAACGCGGUGCUUGUUUAAGAGGUCUCUACGAGAAGAACCUCUCCCAUUCAAACCGCGUCAUAUAUUCCGCUACAAGUUCCCGGUCCUUCACCGACACUUCUCUUAUUUUCGUCUCCCUUUCGAACUCCUGAAGGUGGCGCUCGAGGUCUGUCAACCAUUGUGCUCCGUGCUCUUAGAUCAACUGGAGCUUCCAACCACACCGUUUCAGUCUCACUAGCUACCCUUCUGAACCACCUUUUCCCAAUAGUUCCAACUUGAGAAGGAACAGAAACUUAAGUAUGGAUUACCGCUGGAACUUGUGGUGGACGUGUUGUCACUGGUUCAAGAUAGUACCCUGUUUUCCAUACAUAAACCUCGUUGAUUUUACUUAAAACGACUAAAUAGAUUACAUUGACUAAGACACAACAUGUAAAACCAUGUACGUAAAAGCACUUUUGGACCAGUUUUAAAACUUAAUCAAUCACGAUUCCCACCACCCUCUCCUUCACGUAUUCAGUUUACUGUUUCCUUGUGAUAAUUCUAAAAGAGAGAGUGAGAGUUGUAUUUAUUAAGAAAGUUUGUUUUAAUAAUACGUUCGGAAUCGAAGAGGAGGUAAGUAGAGUUUGAUCAAAAUUAAGUUUUUUUAACUUUCAGUUUGAUAGUAUUCAAACUGUAUCUAGUAUUCUUUUGUGACUGUAAAUACCGUGGUUUAAUCACAUAAUGUAAGUAGUAUUCUAUAUACAAAUAUUAUUUAGAUGAGCCAAGGUACUUAUGACCAUAUAAAAAACACAUUUCAAUCAUUUUGGAAAUCUAUCGAACUUAAAGGGGGGUUUUUUACUUAACAUCACCAUAAUUCCCUAUUUUAUUUUCAUCGAUUUCUCAAUUGUAUUUCUCUUUUAAAAGGUAGCUUACAUUUACUAGCAUCGAGGUCGUAGCGGGGCGUACCUGUGGUGUAUGUCAUGAUCGAAUCAGAAGCUAUCAUGCAGUAGUGGUAGAUUCUAUCCUUUUUUGAUAUAACAAUUCGAAGGAGUACGAUACAACUAAGUAUCUUUCAGAAUAAACGAAACAAGUGAUCUCUUUGAUUAUUAAAGUAUAGAGAUCAUGAACCAAUAUAACUACCAGAAUGCAUGACAGUAUAACUAUAUACCUUACAAUAAUAGCUUAUAAAGUGUACGUGAUGUCUUUUGUCGAGUAAACAGCUCCCAAAAAAAUUUACCGUGAGCUGUUUCCUCUAGCAACGGUUAACAAAAUACUUUUUGUUAUCAUAUUUCCAUUUUAUUUUUACUUAUCUGAGUUGUUUCCACCCCCUGUGUACAGGGCGGGUAGCACCAACUGCCCUUCCUCCGCUAGUCAAUCGAAACGAUUCACGGGGGCCAAACCGACAGCCGUUUCUAAAAAAAUUAAGGUAUAGGUACCGUAGUUAGUACUAUUACACCGGUAUAUAAAGCAUAUCUCCCGUAGAACGGUAGACUUUGUUAUAACGGUUGUGUUCAAGGAUUGAAAAACAAUUUUUAUCAAAAUAUAAAAGAUUAACGGUUUUUACCAAAAAAUCACUUCGUUCACGUUUCUCAUAUUCCAUUUUACGGCGGAGAGGUUAAAAGUGUGUUUUAUCUGAUAUAAUCUAUAUGUUAAGUGUUGUUAAAUCUUAAAAGAGCGAAACAUAGAUAUAAGCAGGUAAAUUUACUGAAAACCGGUUAUAAGGCUUUCAUUAAGUUUAAACUUGAUGUUCAUACAAGAACACAUCAGGUUAAAAGGUGGUUUUAGUAAAACGACGCAGAUUCAUCCUAAGAUACGUUAUAUUUUUGUACCACGACUUUCUAGAUCCUGGAACGCUACUUAUCAAAAUGGCUACUAUAAGUGGGGUAAUACUUUUUCACUUUUUGUUUUUAUUUUUCACGAUAUCAAAGUGUACCUCAACAAAAUACACAUGAAUCACCAGUACGUUUUACUAUUUUUACCUAAACUGUAUUUUUUGAAAGUCUUUUACCUGAUAGUACAUACUUGUAAGUACAAGUUCGCUUUACGGGUACAGUACCUGUAUAGGUACCGUAUCGAGCACUUUUGCACGGGUAUAAACCGUGUUUCCACGUAGAAAGGUACGGUUUGUUAUCACGGUUAUACUCAAUUGUUGAACAACGGUUCCAACCUUUUUCGCCAUCCGUAUUCGCUCCGCCAACCGGAAGCGGAACACGGAUCCGCCACGGAUUCGCGGGAUCCGCGCUGGAUCCGCCAUUAUAUCAAAAAUGAGCAUAACAUAAAUACUAAUAAUAUACCCACAACUAUAAACAAAUCCCGUAUAUUUAUUCAAUUAAUGAUAGAUGACGGUAACCUUAUAUUGGGCAAACCGUAUAGACACGUCAUACACCGUACUAAAGAACGAACCCAUCCGUUAAGGAACGAACAGCACGGAACUAGAGGUAAAUACGGGAUCCGCUCCGCAAACCGAUAACGGAUCACGGAUCCGCACGGAUUCGCGGAGGAUCCGUGACGGAAAAGGUUGUCUCGAACAACGAUGUUUUUUUUAAGUAAAAACUUCACAGUUUUUAGUAAAAAAAACACUUCCUUCACGUUUCUUAUCCCACAUUUUACUGUAGAGCGGAUUAAAGUGUGUUUCACAUGGUAUAAUAUACGGCUAAGUUUCAUAAUCAUAAAAGGGGUAAAAGAUCUAUGUAAGUGGGUAAAUUUACACAAGACUGGCUAAAGACUUUACAUUUAGUUUACACUUGAUCUUCACAUACGAUCAAACUAGGUCUUUUAAGGUUUUUAUUAAAAUUCCAUAGAUUCAUCCUAGAUACGUUAUCAGUGCCGCCCACAACUUUCUGGGUAUGGAAACGAUACUUAUCAAAACGGCUACUAAUUCUGGGGUAAAUUUUUUAGAUUAUUUCACUUCUUUUCAUUUUUUACGUUAAGAAAGCGGACUUCAAUCGAAUACACAACAUCAAGAAUCUUUUUUUUACUAUUUGUACCUAAAACUGUAUAAAAUAUUUGUUUUAAGUAUUUUACCUAAUAGUAUAUACUUGUAAUACUGAAAGUUUGGUUUACUGAUACCAGUACCGGUAUAAGUACCUUAUCAAGUAUUAUUACACGGGUAUGAACCGUGUUUCCACGUAGAAAGGUACGGUUUGUUAUCACUUUUAUAAUCAAAUAUUCCAAAACGAUGUACUUUACUAAAAACAACGGUUACUUUUUGUGAGUCGUUUCUGGGGAAACAGGCGAACAAGAUACGGCUCGCCCUCGUGAGCUAUUUAGGAAACGGCACACAAAAACACGCAAACGACUUUAGGCCAUCGCCAAUAGCUUUACAGAUGAAUUUUUAAGUCUAAAAAUUCUACACGAGGAUUUGAUAACAUUGGGUAAGGAUGAAAAACUAAAAUCCCGGUACUACUAAACAAUACAGGAUCCUCAAGUCUAAUCAUUUGCCUGAUCUUAGGGAUCAUGAACUUUUCCGUGGUCGACUAUUAUAAGUUUGUGUGGUAGUAGUUACGAAUGGUAAGAUACUUUACCUUAAAAAAACUGUCCACUUUAGUCAUAUACAACUGAAUAUACGUAUCACCUAUGUAGGAACAAGGGAAACGAAAAGUAACUUGAAACUUAUACUACUUUGAAUGUAACUAUAUUAUGACGUUUUAUUAAAACAAAAAGACAUAGUAAGUUUAGUUUACAUGGUAGUUAUUAACCACUGUAGCUCGGACGUUGUAAGAUAAUUGGUGUACGGGUACAAGGUUUUCUGAUUAUAAAAUAUAAGGACGAACGAAACGAUAUCCCUGAUCUACGUAUUAUAAACGAUACCAAAUAAUCCACUUGAUAAUGAGUACCAAGAUGCUGCUGAGAAAAUUUCCUUCCUUAAUGGCCUUAAUAAUAAAGGGUUUUACAUUAUAACAGCUAGUUACCAAUUCUAUGCUAACAUCCAGAAGGGAUACGUUCCUAUUAGUCCGUCCCAAAACGUACACAAAGGGGUACCAACUAAGUUCAGUUCCUAAAAGACUUACCAUAGUAUUAACGUACUUUUUAACUGAACGGUUAAGACACCGUGUAUUUUUUAUCCAUAAUAUAAUAAGUCCAGGGUCUUCUAUCUGUACUGACGACAGACUUUGUAAAGCGAACGAUUACAAACGUUAUCCAUGUUUUAUCACUUCCCCCAUCCCAGUCGGGAAGUAAUAGAGGUAGUGCUCACGUUAGGUACGUAGAACGUAUCUCUAUAGUUCGGACCAUUGUAUGAGGACCUACUCAUAAAGUUACGAUUCGAACCCCUGAAGCCCGAUAGGUACUAGCGGUCGUUUUUGUCUCUUUGUCACUAGUGUUGGCGGCACCCCAGUCACCCUAUGUACCUAGGUGUUGAGUACUUUCUGCCCCGACACCUCAAGUCGGCAUUCAGCCUGCAGAUGUCGAAGCCUUAGCAGGAUGAUUUCUAACGUACAUGCGUUUUUAGUUCCCUCCUUCAGACCGUCUACGCGCCACCGUCACUCGUCGUUCAAGUACACCUACCACAACACCUACUGUCCAAUUCGAAGAAACUGGCAUGGCUCUACCUCGCACACCAACAGGAACCGGAGUUCACAAGAGUGAGUCUUCUCCGUGUUGCUGGAAGCUACCUCCUACGUUACUUUAAGGAUCUCCUGCCGGUUCUCAAAGGACGGUGUUGUGUUCCUGUGCCGUCGAUACCACGCGGAACGUGACAUUUACUCCUCCGUGGAUACUACUGUGUACCACUACAGAGAAGAACAAUGGGCACUCGAUGUCCUAACUCACACAGACAGUACACUCCGGUUUGCGUAUCCCGGUACGACGCGGGUUCAAGUACAGGCUCAUAUCUUGAACAACUCAAGUAUAUCUCUACUCACCCUCAAGCCAAGGAUUCAGCCUUUCCAAAACAGGGCUUCUUCCAAUGGGAUGGCUUCCUAGGUUAAGGUUAAUAUCAGGUUCAGACAAAGCAGUUAACAUUAACCGAUAUAUAUAUCGGUGGGGGUGCACUAGUUAUUUCGUCGUCUUUACAAUUGGAGAAUGAGGAUGCAGCGAGUUCGAAGAGAGUUAUAAAGUCGGCGGUAACGAGUGACUCUGAUGGCAGGAGGCGGUUGCCAUAGAGUCCUGAUGGCCAAUGCGCGGUCCAGGGUCGGGCGUCUAAUACCCCGUGUACUGUUGCAGUACCCAGCGUCGAACUAAUAUAUACGCAGUUGAUCGCACGUACGUACAAGGUAGUAUGGUAUAUAUAUGAGGAUGAUCGACCUGCUACCUAACGUGCAAACCAAGAAUUCAAAUGGUAAUAUCAUUAAUUAAUUCCGUAAGUAGCUAUACUACAAACCUUAUCAAAAUUCCCAACAUUACGGUAGUACAAAUAGGAGGUG
rnacentral:rRNA from 1 species